rnacentral:hammerhead_ribozyme from 1 species
AUUCAGCUGACGAGUCCGAAAUAAGACGAAACGCGUGUCCUUGAU